rnacentral:rRNA from 1 species
CCUACGGGGGGCUGCAGUGAGGAAUAUUGGUCAAUGGACGCAAGUCUGAACCUGCCAUGCCGCGUGCAGGAAGACGGCUCUAUGAGUUGUAAACUGCUUUUGUACGAGGGUAAACGCAGAUACGCGUAUCUGUCUGAAAGUAUCGUACGAAUAAGGAUCGGCUAACUCCGUGCCAGCAGCCGCGGUAAUACGGAGGAUUCAAGCGUUAUCCGGAUUUAUUGGGUUUAAAGGGUGCGUAGGCGGUCGGAUAAGUUAGAGGUGAAAUCCCGAGGCUCAACUUCGGAAUUGCCUCUGAUACUGGUAGGCUAGAGAGUAGUUGAGGUAGGCGGAAUGUAUGGUGUAGCGGUGAAAUGCUUAGAGAGCAUACAGAACACCGAUUGCGAAGGCAGCUUACCAGGCUACUUCUGACGUUGAGGCACGAAAGCGUGGGGAGCAAACAGGAUUAGAUACCCGUGUAGUC